GCCAUUGCUAUGGUAACCCUGUUUAGUACGAGAGGAACUGCAGGUUCAGACAAUUGGUAUAUGUGCCUAGUCGAAAGGCCAAUGGUGCUAAGCUACCAUUUGAGGGAUUAAGACUGAACCCCUCUAAGUCUCAGUCCCGUCCAUAUUUGCAACGGUACAUACCAUAUCCGACACGUGGCUGGGCAAGCUUACGUAUUCCGUCUGGUGUCUGGACUGGACCAUGUGUUCGGCUAGGCCCAUAAAUUCUGGUGUUACGCCAGAGCGAUGACCAUAAACUAUGCUCCGGAUUUCGGGGUGUAGGGGUCGACACGAUCUCUAAUUGUGGUAUGAGCUUUAGGAUACUAAAUCGUUUGUAGACGAAUUAAUGUUUUGUUGGGGAGACGUAAGUGCUUGAGCAGCUAUCACACUGCGAGGCAUUGAGUCCUAUCCCUGCUUGACGUAAUGA
rnacentral:ncRNA from 1 species